CUACGCGAGGCACCAGUGGGGAAUAUUGCGCAAUGGGCGAAAGCCUGACGCAGCAACGCCGCGUGAGGGAUGAAGGUCUUCGGAUUGUAAACCUCUGUCGUAGGGGACAAAACCUAUAUUAGCUAAUACCUAAUGUAAUUGAUGGUACCCUAAAAGGAAGCACCGGCUAACUCCGUGCCAGCAGCCGCGGUAAUACGGAGGGUGCUAGCGUUGUUCGGAAUUAUUGGGCGUAAAGCGCACGUAGGUGGCUUCAGUAGUCCGGUGUGAAAUCCCUCGGCUUAACCGAGGAAGUGCGCCGGAAACCAUGGAGCUAGAGUACAGGAGGGGAGAGUGGAAUUCCCAGUGUAGAGGUGAUAUUCGUAGAUAUUGGGAGGAACACCGGUGGCGAAAGCGACUCUCUGGACUGUUACUGACACUAAGGUGCGAAAGCGUGGGUAGCAAACAGGAUUAGAUACCCCCGUAGUC
rnacentral:rRNA from 1 species